rnacentral:rRNA from 1 species
UAGGGAAUCUUCGGCAAUAGGGGCAACCCUGACCGAGCAACGCCGCGUGAGUGAAGAAGGUUUUCGGAUCGUAAAGCUCUGUUGUAAGAGAAGAACGAGUGUGAGAGUGGAAAGUUCACACUGUGACGGUAACUUACCAGAAAGGGACGGCUAACUACGUGCCAGCAGCCGCGGUAAUACGUAGGUCCCGAGCGUUAUCCGGAUUUAUUGGGCGUAAAGCGAGCGCAGGCGGUUAGAUAAGUCUGAAGUUAAAGGCUGUGGCUUAACCAUAGUACGCUUUGGAAACUGUUUAACUUGAGUGCAGAAGGGGAGAGUGGAAUUCCAUGUGUAGCGGUGAAAUGCGUAGAUAUAUGGAGGAACACCGGUGGCGAAAGCGGCUCUCUGGUCUGUAACUGACGCUGAGGCUCGAAAGCGUGGGGAGCAAACAGGAUUAGAUACCCUGGUAGUCCACGCCGUAAACGAUGAGUGCUAGGUGUUGGGUCCUUUCCGGGACUCAGUGCCGCAGCUAACGCAUUAAGCACUCCGCCUGGGGAGUACGACCGCAAGGUUG